rnacentral:rRNA from 1 species
UACGUAGGGUGCAAGCGUUAAUCGGAAUUACUGGGCGUAAAGCGUGCGCAGGCGGUUGUGCAGGACAGAUGUGAAAUCCCCGGGCUUAACCUGGGAAUUGCAUUUGUGACUGCACGGCUAGAGUGUGUCAGAGGGGGGUAGAAUUCCACGUGUAGCAGUGAAAUGCGUAGAUAUGUGGAGGAAUACCGAUGGCGAAGGCAGCCCCCUGGGAUAACACUGACGCUCAUGCACGAAAGCGUGGGGAGCAAACAGG